rnacentral:rRNA from 1 species
CAGAGGUAGCACAGAGAGCUUGCUCUCGGGUGACGAGCGGCGGAGGGGUGAGUAAUGUCUGGGAAACUGCCUGAUGGACCAAAAUAACUACUGGAAACGGUAGCUAAUACCGCAUAACGUCGCAAGAGGGGGGUGGGGGACCUUCGGGCCUCAUGCCAUCAGAUGUGCCCAGAUGGGAUUAGCUAGUAGGUGGGGUAACGGCUCACCUAGGCGACGAUCCCUAGCUGGUCUGAGAGGAUGACCAGCCACACUGGAACUGAGACACGGUCCAGACUCCUACGGGAGGCAGCAGUGGGGAAUAUUGCACAAUGGGCGCAAGCCUGAUGCAGCCAUGCCGCGUGUAUGAAGAAGGCCUUCGGGUUGUAAAGUACUUUCAGCGGGGAGGAAGGCGAUAAGGUUAAUAACCUUGUCGAUUGACGUUACCCGCAGAAGAAGCACCGGCUAACUCCGUGCCAGCAGCCGCGGUAAUACGGAGGGUGCAAGCGUUAAUCGGAAUUACUGGGCGUAAAGCGCACGCAGGCGGUCUGUCAAGUCGGAUGUGAAAUCCCCGGGCUCAACCUGGGAACUGCAUUCGAAACUGGCAGGCUAGAGUCUUGUAGAGGGGGGUAGAAUUCCAGGUGUAGCGGUGAAAUGCGUAGAGAUCUGGAGGAAUACCGGUGGCGAAGGCGGCCCCCUGGACAAAGACUGACGCUCAGGUGCGAAAGCGUGGGGAGCAAACAGGAUUAGAUACCCUGGUAGUCCACGCCGUAAACGAUGUCGAUUUGGAGGUUGUGCCCUUGAGGCGUGGCUUCCGGAGCUAACGCGUUAAAUCGACCGCCUGGGGAGUACGGCCGCAAGGUUAAAACUCAAAUGAAUUGACGGGGGCCCGCACAAGCGGUGGAGCAUGUGGUUUAAUUCGAUGCAACGCGAAGAACCUUACCUGGUCUUGACAUCCACAGAACUUACCAGAGAUGGUUUGGUGCCUUCGGGAACUGUGAGACAGGUGCUGCAUGGCUGUCGUCAGCUGGUCUUGUGAAAUGUUGGGUUAAG